rnacentral:rRNA from 1 species
GAUGAACGCUGGCGGCGUGCCUAAUACAUGCAAGUCGAGCGAACGGACGAGAAGCUUGCUUCUCUGAUGUUAGCGGCGGACGGGUGAGUAACACGUGGAUAACCUACCUAUAAGACUGGGAUAACUUCGGGAAACCGUAGCUAAUACCGGAUAAUAUUUUGAACCGCAUGGUUCAAAAGUGAAAGACGGUCUUGCUGUCACUUAUAGAUGGAUCCGCGCUGCAUUAGCUAGUUGGUAAGGUAACGGCUUACCAAGGCAACGAUGCAUAGCCGACCUGAGAGGGUGAGGGGCCACACGGGACUGAGGACCGGGGCCAGACCCCUACGGGAGGCAGCAGGGGGGAAUUUUCAGCAAGGGGCGAAGGCUGGACGGAGCAACGCCGCGGGGGUAAUAAGGUUUUUAGGAUCGUAAACCCUUGUUAUUGGGAAAGAACAUAGGUUUAAGGACUAGUGAACAUCUUGACGGCCCCUAAUCAAAAAGCCAGGGCAAACUACGU